ACGGGAGGCAGCAGUGGGGAAUAUUGCGCAAUGGGGGAAACCCUGACGCAGCAACGCCGCGUGAAGGAAGAAGGUCUUCGGAUUGUAAACUUUUGUCUUCAAGGAAGAACAAUGACAGUACUUGGGGAGGAAGCUCCGGCUAACUACGUGCCAGCAGCCGCGGUAAUACGUAGGGAGCAAGCGUUGUCCGGAAUUACUGGGUGUAAAGGGUGCGUAGGCGGGUAUGCAAGUCAUAUGUGAAAUACCGGGGCUUAACUCCGGAGCUGCAUAAGAAACUGUAUAUCUUGAGUGCAGGAGAGGUAAGCGGAAUUCCUAGUGUAGCGGUGAAAUGCGUAGAUAUUAGGAAGAACACCAGUGGCGAAGGCGGCUUUCUGGACUGAAACUGACGCUGAGGCUCGAAAGCGUGGGGAGCAAACAGGAUUAGAUACCCUGGUA
rnacentral:rRNA from 1 species